GACGAACGCUGGCGGCGUGCUUAACACAUGCAAGUCGAACGGAAAGGCCCUGCUUUUGUGGGGUGCUCGAGUGGCGAACGGGUGAGUAACACGUGAGUAACCUGCCCUUGACUUUGGGAUAACUUCAGGAAACUGGGGCUAAUACCGGAUAGGAGCUCCUGCUGCAUGGUGGGGGUUGGAAAGUUUCGGCGGUUGGGGAUGGACUCGCGGCUUAUCAGCUUGUUGGGGGGGUAGUGGCUUACCAAGGCCUUGACGGGUAGCCGGCCUGGGAGGGUGACCGGCCACAUUGGGACUGGGAUACGGCCCAGCCUCCUCCGGGAGGCAGCAGUGGGGAAUAUUGCACAAUGGGCGGAAGCCUGAUGCAGCAACGCCGCGUGCGGGAUGACGGCCUUCGGGUUGUAAACCGCUUUCGCCUGUGACGAAGCGUGAGUGACGGUAAUGGGUAAAGAAGCACCGGCUAACUACGUG
rnacentral:rRNA from 1 species